UACGGAGGAUGCAAGCGUUAUCCGGAAUGAUUGGGCGUAAAGCGUCCGCAGGUGGCUGUGUAAGUCUGCUGUCAAAGAGCAAAGCUCAACUUUGUAAAGGCAGUGGAAACUACACGGCUAGAGUGCGUUCGGGGCAGAGGGAAUUCCUGGUGUAGCGGUGAAAUGCGUAGAGAUCGGGAAGAACAUCAGUGGCGAAGGCGGCCUGCUGGGCUGUUGCUGACGCUGAGGCGCGACAGCGUGGGGAGCAAACAGG
rnacentral:rRNA from 1 species